UGGGUUGGUAGUAUAAGUAGUAUAUCGGGCUCAUGACCUGGAGGAUGAGAGGAAAGGGGUUUUUGUGAUGAAAGCUCUUUCUCGCUAACCUAU
rnacentral:tRNA from 1 species